rnacentral:rRNA from 1 species
UACGUAGGGUGCGAGCGUUGCCCGGAUUUAUUGGGCGUAAAGGGCGCGUAGGCGGUCACGCACGUCCGUUGUGAAAUCGCUCGGCUCAACUGGGCGGGGUCAGCGGAUACGGUGUGACUGGAGCAAGCUAGGGGGCAAUGGAAUUCCCGGUGUAGUGGUGGAAUGCGCAGAUAUCAGGAGGAACACCGGUGGCGAAGGCGGGUCUCUGGGCAGUAACUGACGCUGAGGAGCGAAAGCGUGGGGAGCGAACAGG